rnacentral:misc_RNA from 1 species
AUUGACAAUUGGAUGAUGUCUGAUCUACCUUCUGAGAAAAUAUCUGGUAUAGAAGCUGAUUGUUAUUGGUGUCUAUCAAAACUGCUUGAUGGGAUGCAAGACCAUUACACAUUUGCUCAACCGGGAAUCCAGAGGCUCGUGUUUAAGCUAAAGGAGUUGGUUAGACGGAUAGAUGAACCUGUGUCAACACACAUGGAAGAGCAA